UACGGAGGAUGCGAGCGUUAUCCGGAUUUAUUGGGUUUAAAGGGUGCGUAGGCGGACGCUUAAGUCAGCGGUAAAAUUGCGGGGCUCAACCUCGUCGAGCCGUUGAAACUGGGUGCCUUGAGUGGGCGAGAAGUACGCGGAAUGCGUGGUGUAGCGGUGAAAUGCAUAGAUAUCACGCUGAACUCCGAUUGCGAAGGCAGCGUACCGGCGCCCAACUGACGCUGAAGCACGAAGGCGUGGGUAUCGAACAGG
rnacentral:rRNA from 1 species